rnacentral:lncRNA from 1 species
CACGGAGGCGGGCCGUCCCACGGGAGAAGCAGUUCUUGCAUGACCUGGAGUCUCCGGUAAAAUGGAGUCUGUUUGGUCGUUGCCCACUUAGCCUGGCCCGCAGCAAUCCCACCCAUCCCGCGUCCUGUGACUGACACCUGGCUCUCCUCCCCCCCAUCCAGGUGAGUGAGGACUGGAAGUACGUGGCCAUGGUGAUCGACCGUCUGUUCCUCUGGAUCUUCGUCUUCGUCUGUGUCUUUGGCACCAUCGGGAUGUUCCUGCAGCCUCUCUUCCAGAACUACACCAGCACCACCCUGCUCCACGCGGACCCCUCGGCUCCCAGCUCCAAGUGAGCGGUGCGCAGCCCCCUCCUCCUCCAGCCCUUGACCCUGGUGUCCGGUAGCCGUGGUUGGAGGUGGAUGAGUGGGCUUCCAGGAAGAGGGGUGCUGUCCCCCAGAGCCGCCCUCUCACCUCACGUGGAGCCCCGACACUCCGUCUCCACAUCUGGGCCUGCAGAAUGGGAGCGGCUGCAUUUGGGCUUCUCCUCUCACCACCCCUGACAGUGACAUCAGUGUGGAGGACCGGGGCACAUGGAGGACCGAGAGGCCAGAGCCCUCCCCCCCCGAGGAGGGAGAGAGGGAAGGGCCAAGAGGGGACAGAGUCACCCAAGUCCUGGGAGAGGGGCCAUAUGGCAGGAGGGGCAGUGGCACAGGAUCUCAGAAGGGAGGAGUAGAGCAGAGAGUGGAGCCUGGUGUGACCUGAUGUCCACCCCUGUGUCAGUGGGCAGCAGCCCGGCUGGGUAGGCCCCCUGGCAUCUGAGGUUCCUGCACCGAGGGCUUAGCCCAGGGAGGCCUCCAGCUCAGUCCACAGCCAGCGCCCCUAGGGCUCCAGAGCCCAUCCCCAGCCCCGCUUCUGCCCAGUGGAGGACCCCGCACCUCCUGGCCUUCCCUCUCCUGCUCAGGCGCAGGGGGAAAUGGGCAGAGCCAGGUUCUCAGGGGAGCUCCGAGUUCUGGAUCUUUGGGUGCUUGGAGUCUGAGGCCCAAGCGAUUGAGCUGUGUGAGAAGUGCAAGUUCAUGAGCUCUGGGAGCUGGAAGCACCUUUUACAGUCACGGAUCCCAAAGGAGGCCAUGUCCUAGAUGGACAAACGGAACCAGACCGCGGCCCAUCCGACUGGGCUGCCCUGUGGCCCUCACUUUGAACUGCGUGAAGAGAGGCGUGUGAGGACCUUAGCCCGCCGGACCUGAGCUGCUGGGACAGCUGCCGGGGGAAGCCACCUGGGCAGGACGGCCGGGCCAGCACUGUGCCUGCGGAGACUCCUUCCCUGCCCUCUUCACUAACCCCAGUAGGUUGCCACAGAAGUGCAGGAGGUCACAGGAAGCAGGACUUCUGCUGCCCGUCCUGGGGUCCCUGCAGGCUGCAUUCUGGCACGGCUCCCAGGGUCCUCCUGCUGGAGGCCACCUGACCCAUUAGCCCAGGAAGCGGAUCUAUCGAGGGACCUCCUGUCCCUGCCCCCACCGUGUGGGGCUUGGAUCUGUGGUCCCAGUCUGUGUUUGGCGCUGGGCCAGCAGAUGGCCGGUCAUAGAGACGUCAGUCUGCCAUUGCUCCCCAGGGAUGGGGCCCGACCUGGUCAUUCAGUGCUCUGAGCCCAGUGGGAUCUGCUGCUUCUCCAGGCACAGGGGACAUGGGAGGCUUGCUGAUGUGUGGGUGGGAGGGGACACUGCACAAAGAGUGCUGGACAGGGAUUCCGGAAGCAGAGUUCUAGGCUCCGCUCUGGUACGUACUCAUUGAGCCAUCCCCAGCAAGCCCCUUUGCCCAUGUGGGCUCUGCAGAUCCAACGCAGGCCUCCUCACGCAUUCCAGGUGAGCAGUCUAUGACUGAAACGCAGCCCCACCCUUUAAUGCUUCUGAGCGGCUGUUGUCCAGGUUAGUGACCAAACUGUGUUCGAGGGGGUGUCAGUGAGUAGUCUGACUCCUCUCCGUGUCCCAUUUGUCACACUGGGAAACUGAGGCCCAGAGGUCAUUUGCUGUCUGGUCUCAUGUAGGCACCGCUCUCUGAACUUGCUGUUCUGCAUGUGUACGGCAGGAUGGCAGCGGGCAGGGGCUGAAGAGGGGAGGAAGGAGGUCAGUGUAUGGGACUUUGUCCACUUUGGGGGUAGCCCCUUUGGGGACCAUUGCAGUAAGGGAGGAGGGGAGGGCAGAGGUGGUGAAGGAGGGCCCCACUGCCCGGGCAAGGAAAUGCCACAUGUCGGUACCGUGGGAGCCCUCAAGGACAUUGGCAAAUUUGGGGAACCACAGUUCCUCUUCCUCGGGUCCCACACCCUCUUCCCUUGGUGGUGCCAGGGAGCCCCUGUCUCCUUUCCAUGGUGGGGCUGCACCUGGGUACAAGGCUCAGCGCUAGGCAAGGAUGAGCAGGCCCUGGAGCUGAGGAGGGGGUAGACAAACUGCAUGGGGACCUGGGACAAGGAUUUGGGAGGAGGCAGUGAGAGAGGAGAUGGGAUAACCCAUCAGAGGUGACCUGGUCACAGUGACUUGGUGGCCAUCUUUGGGAAGAAGGUGUGCACAGGCUUUCUGCCUUGCUUUCUGCCUUGCCUGGCAGCGAGGUGUGCAAUCCUCCAACAGCUGGUGCCAGGUUAUUGAAAGUUAAAAGCAAACAAGAUGCAGGCAUCUCCCCAGAUGGCAUGUUCCGCAGGAGGGCGUCUGCGGAGGAAGGGCAGGGCCAUUCCCUCCAAGGAAAUAGGAUGACUGGAGCUUAGACCCCUGUUUCCGCCUCUCCAAAUCCCAGGGUUAGCUACCGCUUACCAAGGGUCUGUUCUGGGCCAGUCCCUUUAGAUGCACUGUCUUUAUUCCUCAAAAUAGUCCUGUGGGGAGGGCCCCAGUUGGCAGAAGAGACCAAGUGACAGCUGAUGGGUAGUGCUGGCCCCUCAACCCAAGAGUGCCCCAACGUCCAGGCAUGUGCUAUGGCCCUUGAGGAAGAGGAAGGUGGGGGGCAUCCAGAGCCUUCUCUGAAUCACUCCCCAUGCCAGAGUGACUUGGUUCCUGUUGUCACCCUCUGCUUCUAGGCAGCAGUGGAUUGUAGCAUUCUUCACAGCACAAAGAGCACUGGCCAGCCUCCCGUCCACUCACCCUGACCAGACAGGACAGUCACCUUUUAAUAGUUAUCCCAACAGGUCUAAAAGGUGGGUGCGAUAGUCACAUUGUUCUUGAGGGACUUUAGCUCUAGAAAUCUGUAGGACACCUCACUCACCCCCACCGCGCUGCCCGCCUCCCCACGCCGCCCUUGACCUCCUCUGUCUGCACUCCUGGAGUAUCUGCACUGGUCUGGCCCGCCCCUGGCUGGACUCACUAGGAACUCAAGAUUCUCGUAAAGAAAGUAGUUUCCAAAGACACCUUGUCCUCCUGUUCUGUUUGGGGCUGUGUGGGGUGGCUGGGCAUCCUCAAGGCCCUGGCUGGCGAACGUGGGAAG